CUCGCUUUUAAAAGCUCAGCAGACAUUAGCAACCUAUUUCUUAGUGUUUAGUACACAAAUGUUUGUGUAUUCAAAAUACAUUACACACUAAAAUUAUAUCCUGUUAAUCUUACAAACAGGAUGUGAUGACUUGAAUUAUUUGUGAAUUGAGUUUCAUAAACAUAGUUUGAAUCAACUAAACUCCCAUACAACUGAAACAAAAUUAAAAAUGAAGCUCUUAGUGAUUUUUGCCUGCUUGGUCGUUCUUGCCUCCUCCGCAAAAAUAGACCCUAUCGAUGUAACCCUGCCCGUAAUGAAUGAUGGUCAACACUCUUGUGCAGAAGAAUGUCAACCCAAUGAAUUUUGUCUUUUUGGAGCCUGCUCUUCUUUUGGAGACUUUAACGGAUGUGAUGCCGCUGAACAAGACAAGUGCAGUGGUGAACUCUGUGUGAAAGUGGAAAGAACUGCUUGUAUUAAUCCGACAAGAUAAAUCCAAUUCUAUUUUUUUUA
rnacentral:lncRNA from 1 species